GUAUUACUCCCUCCGUCUCAUACUAAGUGACUUUUUAUUACAUGUAUUUAGACGUUUUUUAGGCAUAAAUAUAUUCAUAUUUAGACAAAUUUGAGUCACUUAAUAUGAGACGGAAAGAGUAUGUC
rfam:Brachypodium distachyon strain Bd21 chromosome 2, whole genome shotgun sequence.